GCCUGGCUGGCUCAGUUGGUGGAGCAUGCAACUCUUGAUCUCAGGGUUGUGGGUUGGAAUCCCAUGUUGAGUG
rnacentral:tRNA from 1 species